AUGGCUCAUUGGUUAAGAGCACUUGGCUGCUCUUCCAGAGGACCUGGGUUCAAUUCCCAGU
rfam:Mesocricetus auratus contig139990, whole genome shotgun sequence.